UGGGGAAUAUUGCACAAUGGGCGCAAGCCUGAUGCAGCCAUGCCGCGUGUGUGAAGAAGGCCUUCGGGUUGUAAAGCACUUUCAGCGAGGAGGAAGGUGGUGAGCUUAAUACGCUCAUCAAUUGACGUUACUCGCAGAAGAAGCACCGGCUAACUCCGUGCCAGCAGCCGCGGUAAUACGGAGGGUGCAAGCGUUAAUCGGAAUUACUGGGCGUAAAGCGCACGCAGGCGGUUUGUUAAGUCAGAUGUGAAAUCCCCGGGCUCAACCUGGGAACUGCAUUUGAAACUGGCAAGCUAGAGUCUCGUAGAGGGGGGUAGAAUUCCAGGUGUAGCGGUGAAAUGCGUAGAGAUCUGGAGGAAUACCGGUGGCGAAGGCGGCCCCCUGGACGAAGACUGACGCUCAGGUGCGAAAAGGCGUGGGGCAGCAAACAGGAUUAGAUACCCUGGUAGUCCACGCUGUAAACGAUGUCGAUUUUGGAGGUUGUGCCCUUGAGGCGUGGCUUCCGGAGCUAACGCGUUAAAUGACCGCCU
rnacentral:rRNA from 1 species